rnacentral:rRNA from 1 species
CCCUUAGAUGUUCUGGGCCGCACGCGCGCUACACUGACGAAUGCAACGAGCUUAUAACCUUGGCCGAAAGGUCUGGGUAAUCUCCAAAUUUCGUCGUGAUGGGGAUAGAUUAUUGCAAUUAUUAAUCUUCAACGAGGAAUGCCUAGUAAGCGCAAGCCAUCAGCUUGCGUUGAUUACGUCCCUGCCCUUUGUACACACCGCCCGUCGCUCCUACCGAUUGAAUGGUCCGGUGAAGCGUUCGGACCGUGGCCUUUGGACGGUUCGCCGUCUGUUGGCUGCGGGAAGUUCGUUAAACCUUNUNAUUUAGNGGAAGGAGAANUCGUANCA